rnacentral:rRNA from 1 species
AUUGAACGCUGGCGGCAGGCCUAACACAUGCAAGUCGAGCGAGCGGCGGACGGGUGAGUAUUGUCUGGGAAACUGCCUGAUGGCGGGGGAUAACUACUGGAAACGGUAGCUAAUACCGCAUACCAUCAGAUGUGCCCAGAUGGGAUUAGCUUGUGGGUGGGGUAACGGCUCACCUAGGCGACGAUCCCUAGCUGGUCUGCGCGGAUGACCAGCCACACUGGAACUGAGACACGGUCCAGACUCCUAGGGGAGGCAGCAGUGGGGAAUAUUGCACAAUGGGCGCAAGCCUGAUGCAGCCAGGCCGCGGGUGUGAAGAAGGCCUUCGGGUUGUAAAGCACUUUCAGCGGGGAGGCGGUACCCGCAGAGAAAGCACCGGCUAACUCCGUGCCAGCAGCCGCGGUAAUAC